rnacentral:rRNA from 1 species
UACAGAGGUCUCAAGCGUUGUUCGGAUUCAUUGGGCGUAAAGGGUGCGUAGGCGGCGCGGUAAGUCGGGUGUGAAAUCUUGGAGCUUAACUCCGAAACUGCAUUCGAUACUGCCGUGCUUGAGGACUGGAGAGGAGACUGGAAUUUACGGUGUAGCGGUGAAAUGCGUAGAUAUUGGGAGGAACACCGGUGGCGAAGGCGGCUCACUGGACCGGUUCUGACGCUGAGGCGCGAAAGCGUGGGGAGCAAACGGG